GGUACCAUGAAUAUACACAUACCACAAAUACGUAUGGAAAAUGUAGCUGAAAAUAUAAGAUCACCUUUACUGUGUCGCGAUACGAAGAUAUGGCUAAAAAUAAAGAAGCACAUAAACAUUCAAGUUGAGAGAAGUUGAUGAAAACUUCGAACUUCAGACCUUAUUACGAGGUAAUUUCUGUAGUAAUUUGGUAAAAAAUUAAACUUGCUGUUUACAGCUUAUAUAUAUAUUCAUUAUAUGGCUGGAAAUUUGACCAAUGAGGAACGGAAAUGGAUCCUCAAACAGUACUGGAAAACCGGGAAUGCAGAGCUGGUUAGACAGAAAUGGACUGAAGAAUUUCAAAGACCAGCUCCAUCAAGAUUAACAGUAUAUAGAAUACGUAAUAAAUUUGAGCAGACUGGGUCUGUCUGCAAUGCGCAGAAACGCGGUCGACCAGUCAGUGUUACCACUGAAGAAAAUAAGAUUCUUGUGGCUCAAGCAUUUACCCAAAGCCCCCAGAAAUCAAAAAAGAGUACUUCCAAUGAACUAGGCAUCUCUCGCAGAUCCCUUGGUCGACUUAUGAAUCGAUUACCUAAAAAAGAAAUAGAGAAAUGAAAAGAAUAUUCUACUUAUUAACCAACUUUGUGCCUACUUUUGCUCACACUCAUGUAUGUGUGCAUGUAUAUAUAUGUAUAUAUAUGUAUGUGGUGACAUGUAGGUAUAUUCUUUAUAAAUAUUUGUACUGCAGUGUGUUGUGUGAAGAUAACCUGGCCACUGUGAAAUUCUGUCCAUGUGGAUAUAACUGGAUAUGGGAGGAAUAUUCCAAAAUUAAGCUUAAAGGAUCCUCAAGUAUGAACAGCCUGUAACUAACAAAAGUGAAUUUGCUAUUGCGAAAAUUGAUGAACAUGGGAGAAGCACUACAAAACAAAGAUGCACCACAUGGCAGUAUGACUGAUGCUUGAAGGUUGCCUUGAGUGGCUUCUAGUGGCAGAAACCUGAACUACAACAAGUUUGUCCCACAGAGAAUGUUUCUGGUUACUUUUGGGUACUCCCUUGUAUAGCCUCUUGUUGAAAUAAUCUCAAAAGCUGGAUGAGAAGAGCCUCUUGAAGGUAGCAAAGCAAUUAGAAAGUAAAUUACAGCAUGUUGGUGAGUAUAAAAUAACAGUACAUAGUUGAUUUUAAUAAAUUUUACCUUUAACUGAGCUUUUGUUUGCCUGACUGACUGAGAACAGGUUCCAUUCUUAUUUCCCAGUUGAAAUGUUAGCUAUAAAGUGAUUCUGCUAAAGAUGUUUAUAUUAUAUAAUUGAAAUUUGGUAAGAGAUCUGCCAAGGUUAGCAUAGCUGGUGAUAUGGAUAAAUUAGAAGACAUAGUGUUAUUAAUAUUGUCUUCAGGAUCAAGGGAACAAAAAUAUGCUGUGGAAGGCUUAGCAGGUCAAUUAAUGGCCAUGUUUUUGUAUUCACUUUUGCUUACCAAGUUUACUGAUUGGUUAUUGUGUUUCGCUAGAAGUCAGCUGUUAUUUAGCAGACUUAUGAUAAAAACUGUUAACACCCUAUUGUUUUUCUAUGUUCAGAGGAGCCUUGACCACAUUAUUCAAACAUAUCCUUUCUUUCAGGCAGUAGGAUUUAAUUUUAGAGAAACUUGGUUGUUAUCUUAUGCAACUUGAUUGACCAAGUGAUGGCUUCUUAAUUGUUUUAGCUGUCACAGGGUGGUGGAGUUUUUUCUAGAUUUGAUGAUAUGUGGUUUGAGAAAUCUCCCUCUCUCUCUAAUUUAUUUAUUGUAAAUAAUUGAUGUAUGAGUGGAGGACACCACCACCACCACCAAGGCGAACAACAGGUGGGUUUCUUGAGUGAAUUGGGAAACCAAGGAUGGAUGCAGCAGCAUCUGAGGGCCCAAUAUAUCUGCCUGUCAAAUACUUUGUGAUUUCAUCUGGUCUGAAUGACGACAACACUCCUCUCUUUGAAGACAGUGAUGCAGAAUAAUGAAACAAGAACCAUGGACAUAGACUGGAUGGGUCAUAGGUUUUUGGUAUCAAACAAGGCUCAGACUGUUGAUACUUUUGUGUGGAAUGGCGUGAUUGGAACAGUCUGAUCCCAAUUAUUGAGAGAGAAUGUGAAAAAAGUUCAGUAAUUCAUUCAGAUGAGUGGCUUGCUUAUAAUAAUUUAAAUGCCAUAGGCUAUCACCAUCUGGCAGUGAACUAUCAAUUAUAUUAUGUGGAUCCAGUGACUUGAGCACACACUCAUGCCAUUGAGCGAUCAAGGUUAGAUGCUAAAACUAUGAUUCUGUAAAAAAAUGAAAGGUGUUGGUACUGAGCUUCUCCAGUCACAUCUUGAUCAUUUCUGCUGGAAGAUGAUGAGGGAAGACUCAGAUGAUUUAUUUGUAGCAUUCCUUAAUGACAUAUGAAGUGUUUAUUGUUAAAAUGGAUGGUCUUGAUAUAUCUGUGUAAUUUCUUUAUCGUAUAAAAUAAUAUAAGAUUCAAUAUUUCUUAUUUGCAUAAUUUCUCUAUAAUGUACGAAGUGUUUUAUCUCUGAAAUAUCUGAAGUUUUUUAAUCUCUGAAAUAUCUUAAAGAUACAGUGGAUAACUCUGGUUAUACUGUUUGACACCAUGGUAGACUGCAUACUAUACUACCAUCCAUUGUUGUUUGGUAUAAUCACAGCAACCUCAUUGGCAAUUUGUGCAUUGAAUUUUCUCUCGUGCCCAAAUACAGGUCUUUGAUCAUGAUCAUUAACAAUGGAAGCCUUUGGCAUGUCUUGAAGCAAUUCUUUAGCUAAUUGAAAUGAUGCAACAUAGAGGGUUUUUUGCCUUAAUACAAUCUCCAAUAAUUCAACAAUCUUUCAUUGAAUUCCAUGAUUCAUGAGUAUCCCCAUUCUGAAAUCGAUGCUGUCUUGAGGGUCAUGAAAUAAAUCUGAAGGAAUUCAGCUUGCUGAUUUGGAUCUGAUAGUAACUGUCCAAUAUAGUGAUGGAUCUGGCCAUGAAUGACAACGGAGGGAUUCCAUAUGCUUCUUUCAGGAAUAACUUCUUUCCCACUGAAUGAUGUCAUUUAGAAGAGGCAGUUGUACUGCCUGAUUUUCUUCCUGAAUUCUUUUGCAAGGUGGUCAUCACUUUUGUAUAAAUAGAUAAGUUCAUUUGGUAGGGGUUGUAAAUUGCCACUAUGAACUUCUCCCUUCAUGCAGCAGAAAUUUUCUGUUUCACCAUGGAAUAAGAAUGCAUGACAGUAAGCGCAUAUUUUAUUCAUCACAGCUACCUCAGCAGAAAGAGUGGAUCCAUUUCCUUCCAUUUCUCCCUCUGUCCUCCUUUCUUUCUACACCCUGUUGUUUAAGAGUCGUGAAGCCUUCAUUUCAGGCGUUUCUGCAAGUCUUCUGCUAUUUAUUCUUUGUCUCACAUCCUGGAGAUGUGCAUUCCUAUCUUCUUCAGUCUCCUUCUUUGUUGCUUGACUCUGUUAUCCUGCAGUUGUUCUGCUCUCAUUUCAGCCAUUUCCUAUUGUUUCCUUGCCCCUGCUGCUUCCUGGUGCCUUUUGGCGUCUCUUUCCACGUGGCAUUAUUGAUCAAUGCU